AGUGAACGCUGGCGGUAGGCCUAACACAUGCAAGUCGAACGGCAGCACAGAGGAGCUUGCUCCUUGGGUGGCGAGUGGCGGACGGGUGAGGAAUGCAUCGGAAUCUACUCUGUCGUGGGGGAUAACGUAGGGAAACUUACGCUAAUACCGCAUACGACCUACGGGUGAAAGCAGGGGACCUUCGGGCCUUGCGCGAUUGAAUGAGCCGAUGUCGGAUUAGCUAGUUGGCGGGGUAAAGGCCCACCAAGGCGACGAUCCGUAGCUGGUCUGAGAGGAUGAUCAGCCACACUGGAACUGAGACACGAUCCAGACUCCUACGGGAGGCAGCAGUGGGGAAUAUUGGACAAUGGGCGCAAGCCUGAUCCAGCCAUACCGCGUGGGUGAAGAAGGCCUUCGGGUUGUAAAGCCCUUCUGUUGGGAAAGAAAUCCAGCUGGUUAAUACCCGGUUGGGAUGACGGUACCCAAAGAAUAAGCACCGGCUAACUUCGUGCCAGCAGCCGCCGUAA
rnacentral:rRNA from 1 species